GUAGGGAAUAUUGCGCAAUGGAGGCAACUCUGACGCAGCCAUGCCGCGUGCAGGAAGAAGGCGCUACGCGUUGUAAACUGCUUUUAACCGGGAAGAAACCCCAGGACGUGUCCUGGGUUGACGGUACCGGAGGAAUAAGCACCGGCUAACUUCGUGCCAGCAGCCGCGGUAAUACGAAGGGUGCAAGCGUUAUCCGGAUUCAUUGGGUUUAAAGGGUGCGUAGGCGGAGCGUUAAGUCAGUGGUGAAAUCCUGCAGCUUAACUGUAGACUUGCCAUUGAUACUGGCGCUCUUGAGUGCGCUUGAAGUGGGCGGAAUGUGCCGUGUAGCGGUGAAAUGCUUAGAUAUGGCACAGAACACCAAUUGCGAAGGCAGCUCACUAAGGCGAUACUGACGCUGAGGCACGAAAGCGUGGGGAUCGAACAGGAUUAGAUACCCUUGUAGUCC
rnacentral:rRNA from 1 species